UUUAAAGUGAUAUUGACUUCUGGGUCAAGAUAGAAAGGGGAAUGAUUAACUCUGUCAUUCCUGCUGCCCAGUGAAAAAGAAUGACACUCUGGUUUGAAUAAUCAUAGUUCAGUCUAAAUUUGAAAGUUUUAACUGGAAGGUUAGUUUAUAAAAAUUUACUCCUCCACCCUAAUAAAGAUAAAAAGGGAGAAUUCUUGACCAAAAAGUAUAAUUUCAACAGACUAAUUUCAUAAAAUAAACUUUCAACUUUCUGAACUUCAAAGGCAUCUAUAAUGUAAUUCUACAAUGCUAAUCAGGGUCAAGACGUCAUAUGCCUCAUUAACUGCAUUAGUUAUAAAUUUCCUUACCAUUUUCUUUUCCAUAUUGUCAGUGUUAAGCUCUUAGCCUCUCAAUGCUAAUUAAGAGAAUUCUACCAUUUAGCCAAGAGAGUGCUCCUGUAAAAAGAAUCUCAGAAAGAUGAGAAGAAAAUGUGAAAAGCUGGGAAAAGUAGACAAUAUUCUUGGUGAGAAGCUUGUCCUGAAGUGAACUGAGAAUAUUCACAGACGUCAAUGUUACUACGCCCUAUCAAGUGUGGAGAAGUGAAAAUGUGUGAUCGUAUUCUGUUUUCUGUUUAAUAAAAAGUGUCUUUUAAAAUUAUCAGCACCUCAAGGAUUAUUAUUAACAGGUGUAAAAUGUACUCUAUAAUC
rnacentral:lncRNA from 1 species